GUAAUACAUGCAAGUCGAGCGGACAGAUGGGAGCCUGCUCCCUGAUGUUAGCGGCGGACGGGUGAGUAACACGUGGGUAACCUGCCUGUAAGACUGGGAUAACUCCGGGAAACCGGGGCUAAUACCGGAUGCUUGAUUGAACCGCAUGGUUCAAUUAUAAAAGGUGGCUUUUAGCUACCACUUACAGAUGGACCCGCGGCGCAUUAGCUAGUUGGUGAGGUAACGGCUCACCAAGGCGACGAUGCGUAGCCGACCUGAGAGGGUGACCGGCCACACUGGGACUGAGACACGGCCCAGACUCCUACGGGAGGCAGCAGUAGGGAAUCUUCCGCAAUGGACGAAAGUCUGACGGAGCAACGCCGCGUGAGUGAUGAAGGUUUUCGGAUCGUAAAACUCUGUUGUUAGGGAAGAACAAGUACCGUUCGAAUAGGGCGGCACCUUGACGGUACCUAACCAGAAAGCCACGGCUAACUACGUGCCAGCAGCCGCGGUAAUACGUAGGUGGCAAGCGUUAAUCGGAAUUACUGGGCGUAAAGCGCACGCAGGCGGUUUGUUAAGUCAGAUGUGAAAUCCCCGGGCUCAACCUGGGAACUGCAUCUGAUACUGGCAAGCUUGAGUCUCGUAGAGGGGGGUAGAAUUCCAGGUGUAGCGGUGAAAUGCGUAGAGAUCUGGAGGAAUACCGGU
rnacentral:rRNA from 1 species